CCGGGAAUCAUGGUUAUCCUGGUCAGCCUGGUCCAGAUGGUAAGCCUGGAUAUCAGGGAUCAGCAGGAAUGCCAGGUAUCCCAGGAACUCCAGGAGUUCAAGGACCACGUGGCUUACCAGGUGUCAAGGGAGAACCGGGGAAAGAUGGGUCUAAGGGUGACCGUGGACAACCUGGUUUUCCUGGAUUACAUGGGAUGCCAGCACCAAAGGUUGAAAUGAUGUAUUUCUUGUUUCAAUAUUCAUGUGUUUCAGCUUGCUCUGUAGUUUAAAGGAAAAAUAAGUUUAUAUACAGUAUUA
rnacentral:lncRNA from 1 species